AGAUUGAACGCUGGCGGCAUGCUUUACACAUGCAAGUCGAACGGCAGCGGCGGGGGCAACCCUGGCGGCGAGUGGCGAACGGGUGAGUAAUGUAUCGGAACGUAUCCUGUAAUGGGGGAUAACCAGUCGAAAGAUUGGGUAAUACCGCAUACGCACGAGAGUGGAAAGUAGGGGAUCGCAAGACCUUACGUUAUAGGAGCGGCCGAUAUCUGAUUAGCUAGUUGGUGGGGUAAAGGCCUACCAAGGCGACGAUCAGUAGCUGGUCUGAGAGGACGACCAGCCACACUGGGACUGAGACACGGCCCAGACUCCUACGGGAGGCAGCAGGUGGGGAAUUUUGGACAAUGGGCGAAAGCCUGAUCCAGCCAUGCCGCGUGCAGGAAGAAGGCCUUCGGGUUAGUAAACUGUCUUUAGUCUAAGGAAAAAGGGGUGCGAGGUUAAUACCCUCGUGCUUUGAUGGUACUGGAAGAAUAAGCACCGGCUAACUACGUG
rnacentral:rRNA from 1 species